CUGAGUAUAAAAAACAAAUAAAUCAAAACUUUCAACAACGGAUCUCUUGGUUCUGGCAUCGAUGAAGAACGCAGCAAAAUGCGAUAAGUAAUGUGAAUUGCAGA
rnacentral:rRNA from 1 species